UCCAGCAAUAAAAAGUUACUAAUUUAAAAUAAAUCAUUUUUCUAAACACAAUAGCAUACAUAAUCAAAUUUAUUGAAACGGUCGCAAAUUGUAUUUUAAUAAUAGAUGUCUUACCAAUUAUCUCAAGGUGUCUCCUUUCUAUUCCACAAUAGAAUACUUUUGUAUUGGCGGCAACAAUAGAGAUACCUAUUGUUCAUUUACAUAAUUUCUUAUCGCAAACUUAAAGUGACAGAUGUGGUUUUGCGCAAUCAACAUUGUACAAGCUUUGAGUGUUUAUACUUUAUAGCCCCAAAAUCGGUCCGGAAGAAUAGUAUUGAUGAACUCUAGAAAAUUGUUGUAUUUUAGUAGAAAAACCAAUAAAAUGUUUUUGCGAAAUGGGAAGCGUUGUGAAAUCUUGAGAAAUCAACAAAACGCAUACAACCAUAAAAUAAAGCAUUCCAAAUCGAAGCAUAUAACCUCUCAAAAAAAAAAAAAAAAAACAAAUAAAUAAAUAAAUGUACAU